rfam:Daphnia magna strain Xinb3 scaffold02385, whole genome shotgun sequence.
GUGGGUUACGGAGAUAUGGCGCCAAAAACGUACGUCGGAAUGUUUGUCGGUGCGUUGUGCGCCCUGGCCGGCGUCUUGACCAUCGCCCUGCCCGUCCCUGUCAUCGUCUCCAAU